GAGUUUGAUCCUGGCUCAGGGUGAAUGCUGGCGGUAUGGAUAAGGCAUGCAAGUCGAAUGGGUUUAGACCCAUGGCAGACGAGGUAGUAACACGUAGGAACGUACCCGGAAGUCGGGCAUAACCAGCCGAAAGGUUGGAUAAUUCCCGAUGGUCUCGCAAGAGUAAAGAUUUAUCGCUUCCGGAGCGGCCUGCGUAGUAUCACGCUAGUUGGUGAGGUAAUGGCUCACCAAGGCUAUGACGCUUAGGGGACCUGAGAGGGUGACCCCCACCGAUGAAACUGAGACACGGUUCAUACCCCUACGGGGGGCUGCAGCCGAGAAUAUUCGACAAUGGGCGAAAGCCUGAUCGAGCGAUACCGCGUGGUGGAUGAAGUGCUUCGGCACGUAAACACCUUUUAUGGAGGAGGAAGUCAUUGACGUUACUCCAUGAAUAAGGGGCUCCUAACUCUGUGCCAGCAGGAGCGGUAAUACAGAGGCCCCGAGCAUUACCCGGAAUUACUGGGCGUAAAGAGUGCGUAGGUGGUCGUGUUAGUCGUUUGUUAAAAACCGGGGCCUAACCCCGGGAGUGCGGGCGAAACGGCACGACUAGAGGGAGUGAGAGGUGAAUGGAACUCAUGGUGUAGGGGUGAAAUCCGUUGAUAUCAUGGGGAACACCGAAAGCGAAGGCAAUUCACUGGCACUUUCCUGACACUCAAGCACGAAAGCGUGGGUAGCGAACGGGAUUAGAUACCCCGGUAGUCCACGCCCUAAACUAUGUCAACUGGCUUUCCGGAGUAUCGACCCUCUGGGAGGCGAAGCUA
rnacentral:rRNA from 1 species